AAGAAAGUGGCAGAGUGGUUAUGCAGCUGGCUUGAAACUAGCUUAUGGGGGUUCAAUUCCUUCCUUUCUCG
rnacentral:tRNA from 1 species